rnacentral:rRNA from 1 species
ACGGGUGAGUAAUACAUCGGAACGUAUCCUGGAGUGGGGGAUAGCCCGGCGAAAGCCGGAUUAAUACCGCAUACGCUCUGAGGAGGAAAGCGGGGGACCUUCGGGCCUCGCGCUCAAGGGGCGGCCGAUGGCGGAUUAGGUAGUUGGUGGGGUAAAGGCCUACCAAGCCGACGAUCCGUAGCUGGUCUGAGAGGACGACCAGCCACACUGGGACUGAGACACGGCCCAGACUCCUACGGGAGGCAGCAGUGGGGAAUUUUGGACAAUGGGGGCAACCCUGAUCCAGCAAUGCCGCGUGUGUGAAGAAGGCCUUCGGGUUGUAAAGCACUUUUGUCCGGAAAGAAAUCAUCGGGGCCAAUACCCCUGGUGGAUGACGGUACCGGAAGAAUAAGCACCGGCUAACUACGUGCCAGCAGCCGCGGUAAUACGUAGGGUGCGAGCGUUAAUCGGAAUUACUGGGCGUAAAGCGUGCGCAGGCGGUGCUGUAAGACCGAUGUGAAAUCCCCGGGCUUAACCUGGGAACUGCAUUGGUGACUGCAGCGCUGGAGUAUGGCAGAUGGGGGUGGAAUUUCCACGU